rnacentral:rRNA from 1 species
AUUGAACGCUGGCGGCAGGCUUAACACAUGCAAGUCGAGCGGGGUGAUGGUGCUUGCACUAUCACUUAGCGGCGGACGGGUGAGUAAUGCUUAGGAAUCUGCCUAUUAGGGGGGGACAACAUCUCGAAAGAGAUGCUAAUACCGCAUACGUCCUACGGGAGAAAGCAGGGGAUCACUUGUGACCUCGCGCUAAUAGAUGAGCCUAAGUCGGAUUAGCUAGUUGUUGGGGUAACGGCCUACCAAGGCGACGACCUUGAGAGGGUAUGAGAGGAUGAUCCGCCACACUGGGACUGAGACACUGCCCAGACUCCUACGGGAGGCAGCAGUGGGGAAUAUUGGACGAUGGGGGGAACCCUGAUCCAGCCAUGCCGCGUGUGUGAAGAAGGCCUUAUGGUUGUAAAGCACUUUAAGCGAGGAGGAGGCUCUUUUGGUUAAUACCCAAGAUGAGUGGACGUUACUCGCAGAAUAAGCACCGGCUAACUCUGUGCCAGCAGCCGCAGUAA